AAGGGCGGGGAGCCUGACGAUGGGAGGGAGGGAGGGAGGGAGAGGGAGGGAGCAAGGGAAGGAGGGUGAGGCGUAACAGGGAGACCGGGUGUCGGGAGAACCAGAGGAGAGGAGACUGGAAAGAAGCGGGGAAGUGUGCCUGGGGCAGCUUCCGAAGGGGAACGGCGGGGACAGAUGAGGGGGGCGCGAUUGCAACCAGAGCGCCCGCGAGCUCCCGGAUUUCUUCUCUUUCCUCGCUAUUUCCCGCACACACAGCCCUGCAGCCCUCCCUUCUUCCUUCCUGGCUUGUGAUUAGAACGCAGCCGCAGGCGGAAGUGCAGUGACGCCAUCAGCCGUCGCCUGAGCCGUGGCGCGCGGGUGGCCGAAAGGCGAAAGUGAGAUUUCAAGGGCCGGGUCUGGGGCCCCGCGGGCGCGCAGUGCUGCGGCGUGUGGGGAGUACGGGGAGGCUGGAGAGGAGCCGGCCCCGGGCAGUGUGAGGUGCGGAAGCGCGGUCCAGACACUUUGCUGACGGGAGGCCGGUCCGCCAGAUCCGGGAGGUGGGGCCUCGUUCUGGACUGCUGAUUUUCUUCACAGAAAUCAUGCCGUCUGUGAAUGAAGGGAGUUAUACUUCUUAUUUUCCAAAUGGAGAUUUUAUUUUUCUUGCAUGACUUCACUGGCUAGAACCACUACUACAAUGCUGAUUAGAAGUGAUAAGAAACAGAGGCAAAUGCAGGUUAAGGAACCUCACAGUAAGGGAUAAAACUCAUAUUUUAACCUGAUCUGCCUGAUUCUGGAGCCUGCACCAUCAUUCCAUUGUCGUGCUUGCCACAUGGAGAAUGAUAAGGGGAGAGAGUAAGAAAGCAAUGAGAUACACAUGUCUUGACUGCUUCUCUUCAUGCUGAAAUCCUGGGGGAAAGAAGUGCUAAAUCAGUUGAGGACAUGGGAACAUUUAUUCUGGAAGAAAUUUGGGUACAGAGACAGACAAGCACCAAGAGAAGAUGAUGUGAAGAAGCACAGCGAGAACACCAUGUGAAAAUGGAGGACUGGAAUGAAGCAUCUACAAGCCAGGAAAUGUCUGAGGCUACCAGAAGCCAGGAGAGAGGCCUGGAACAGAUCCUGCACUAGAACCUUCAAAGAGAGCAUGGUCCUGCUGACAUGUUGAUUUUGGACUUCUGGCCUCCAGAGCUGUGAGAAUAAAUUUCAGUUGUUUUAAGCCAUCCAGUUUUUGGUACCUUAUUAUGGCAGCCCUAGCAAACUAAUAUAGACUCCGAUAAGAAUUCAACUGAUAUAUGCCAUGAAAUUUAGUAUAUCAUCAGGACUGGGAGAAACUGGUAACUUUAUAGGUGAAUAUGAAAGAUGAUAGGGAUAACUG
rnacentral:lncRNA from 1 species